rnacentral:rRNA from 1 species
CCUACGGGGGGCAGCAGUGAGGAAUAUUGGUCAAUGGACGAGAGUCUGAACCAGCCAAGUAGCGUGAAGGAUGACUGCCCUAUGGGUUGUAAACUUCUUUUAUAAAGGAAUAAAACGAGGCACGUGUGCCUUUUUGCAUGUACUUUAUGAAUAAGGAUCGGCUAACUCCGUGCCAGCAGCCGCGGUAAUACGGGGGAUCCGAGCGUUAUCCGGAUUUAUUGGGUUUAAAGGGAGCGUAGAUGGGUUGUUAAGUCAGUUGGGAAAGUUUGCGGCUUAACCGUAAAAUUGCAAUUGAUACUGGCAGUCUUGAGUAGAGUUGAGGUAGGCGGAAUUCGUGGUGUAGCGGUGAAAUGCGUAGAUAUCACGAAGAACCCCGAGUGCGAAGGCAGCUUACUAAGCUGUGACUGACAUUGAUGCUCGAAAGUGUGGGUAUCAAACAGGAUUAGAUACCCGGGUAGUC